rnacentral:misc_RNA from 1 species
AUCCAAAAAGGUGCAAGUAGGCACCUCCAUAUUGUAUGGUGCUAGUCCCUUGCGAUUACUAUAUAUCAUAAUUUGAACCAUAGCAUUGACAAAACCAUCCUUCAUAACCAUUAUAUAAAUGAUUUGAACGGUUGGUGAUAUUACCGUUAACAUGAUAAAAAUGAUAAAUUUGGUGACAUUGCUAUUAACAUGAUAUAAAUGCUAUAUUCUUUGCUAACAAUUCAUUGAAUUUUGAAUCGGGUGUAUUUGAACAGAUUCUUUUUGUGCACUUCUUUUUCCAAAUAUCGUCUCAAGCUAGCAGUAAUGAUGGUUUCACUACAUUGUCCUUUCUUCUAUGUUUUCUUACAAUUAUUAUUUUUUUUUUCUACACAUGUUUCAGUCAUUGUCUACCCAUGCAAUAACUUUUGGAGUUUGGAUGAAUUUAUAGGGAUAAUCAUGCUGACUGUCCAAUCUGACUAGGUUUGCCUUGUAGGUUGUCUUGUGUGAGUACAAGCUUUCACUUGCAGAACAGUGGGCUAAUCGAUUGUGCAGAUUGCAUCAAUUGUUGCCAGAGGUUCUUAAUCCAAAAAACAACUCUUAACUUCAAUUCACAACACCAUUUUUCCUAGUCUCCUUUAAAAUUAUAGGGAUAUCUAUUAGUCUUCUUGAUGGCCAAUUCCAUGCCUGUCUGUUAGAAACUGAUUCAAACAGGAUUGAUUUAGUCU